UAUCCUCGUUAAUUUAUUUUCUAUAAUUACUGAAGCAUCCGUCUCAGAGGGUAACAAGAUUCAAAUGUGUGAUAAGCAACAAUUACAACGAAUUAAAAGAUAGUUUGAUGUCGGGCUCAAGAUUCUAAGCUAGAAUUAUGUGGAAGGAAAUACAAACGGAAGAUGUUCCCGUGGCGACGAGAGGAAACAAUUUGAGAGAAACAAGUUGAAAAUUGGAGGGAACCUCAUCAAAUGUUGUUGAACAUAAUUCUGAAACAGGAGGAAUAAGGAGCAAUUACAGACACGAUUCAUGGAAGCAGUUAUGUAGAAUCACGGUUCACCUUGUAAAAUGGGGUUGUACUUCCAGGUCAAUUACGAGUGAAGUCGACUUCCCUUUUUGGGGUUUUCAUCUUAUUGAACUUUGUAGUACUAGGUAUGUAAUAGAUGUACACUUGGAGGCGUUACUUCACUAGAGGAACGUAUAGCAAGCAUAUUGAUUACAAUGGUGAUGUACAUUGAUUGUAUUAUUUACAAUUUUUAAAUGAAUUGUAUCAAGAUACGUCUUAUAUCUUUGUAAACAUAUCAAGUACAAUAUCUUUCUCUUUAUGUAUAUCCUUUCUGAAAUUAACUACAAGGAUUGUUUGUCAAUAUAAUUACAUGUAUUUACAUGUAAAUAACGCCGAACUAUACGGUUGUAUUUUUUGUUAUUUUUAUUUUAUCUUAUUUUUCGAUUUAUAUGACGUACCUUUUUGGGUUAGUUAAUCUGAUUUUAACGGAAUCAAGGUAUCAAAACAAAAUGACUGUAAAUAUUUGUGUUGACGAAUUCCUCCGCCUGAGAAAGUAAACCACCCUUAAUCUGACGAGUAAUGACGGAUUAGCGCCCCACUGUGAACCGGGACCCUAAACCACAGACUUAUCUAAACACGAAAACACUUCAAAUCCAUAAUUAUUUAUCUAGUGAUUGUUGCAAGUGAUAAGAUUAUUUCAUAAUUUCUUGUACAAACAUAUUGUGGCCAUUCAACAUAAUACAUUGAAACUUGACUUUUUUUCGGCACACUAGUUCUUGUCAUGUAGAACUAUAUCGUCUUUUAGUUUAUACCAUGGAUCACUAAUUCAUUAAUUAGUAGCGUAAUAAAUUUGGCUGUGGGGCGUUUGUGGUAUUCUGGUUGGUUCUUGACGAUUUGGGGUUUUUAUUCUCCCUCAAUGCGCGCUACCGUGGUUUUCUCCGCGUGUCAACGUCAAAUAGUCGUCUCUCUGUCAACCUCCAUGGCGUCCGUCCGAAUGAUAGUCC